rnacentral:rRNA from 1 species
UACAGAGGGGGCAAGCGUUGUUCGGAAUUACUGGGCGUAAAGGGCGCGUAGGCGGCCUGCUAAGUCGAACGUGAAAUCCCCGGGCUCAACCCGGGAACUGCGUCCGAUACUGGCAGGCUUGAAUCCGGGAGAGGGAUGUGGAAUUCCAGGUGUAGCGGUGAAAUGCGUAGAUAUGCGGAGGAACACCGAUGGCGAAGGCAAUCCCCUGGACCUGUACUGACGCUCAUGCACGAAAGCGUGGGGAGCAAACAGG